rnacentral:rRNA from 1 species
AUUGAACGCUGGCGGCAGGCCUAACACAUGCAAGUCGAACGGUAACAGGAAGAAGCUUGCUUCUUUGCUGACGAGUGGCGGACGGGUGAGUAAUGUCUGGGAAACUGCCUGAUGGAGGGGGAUAACUACUGGAAACGGUAGCUAAUACCGCAUAACGUCGCAAGACCAAAGAGGGGGACCUUCGGGCCUCUUGCCAUCGGAUGUGCCCAGAUGGGAUUAGCUAGUAGGCGGGGUAAUGGCCCACCUAGGCGACGAUCCCUAGCUGGUCUGAGAGGAUGACCAGCCACACUGGAACUGAGACACGGUCCAGACUCCUACGGGAGGCAGCAGUGGGGAAUAUUGCACAAUGGGCGCAAGCCUGAUGCAGCCAUGCCGCGUGUAUGAAGAAGGCCUUCGGGUUGUAAAGUACUUUCAGCGGGGAGGAAGGCGAUGCGGUUAAUAACCGCGUCGAUUGACGUUACCCGCAGAAGAAGCACCGGCUAACUCCGUGCCAGCAGCCGCGGUAAUACGGAGGGUGCAAGCGUUAAUCGGAAUUACUGGGCGUAAAGCGCACGCAGGCGGUCUGUUAAGUCAGAUGUGAAAUCCCCGGGCUUAACCUGGGAACUGCAUUUGAAACUGACAGGCUUGAGUCUUGUAGAGGGGGGUAGAAUUCCAGGU